UACAGAGGAGCCAAGCGUUGUCCGGAUUGACUGGGCGUAAAGCGCACGCAGACGGAUGCGCGCGUGGGGUGUGAAAUCUGGCCGCUUAACGGCCAGGCGCCAUCCCAUACGGCGCGUCUGGAGUGAUGCAGAGGUCGACGGAAUUCCCGGUGUAGUGGUGAAAUGCGCAGAUAUCAGGAGGAACACCGGUGGCGAAGGCGGGUCUCUGGGCCGAUGACUGACGCUGAGGAGCGAAAGCGUGGGGAGCAAACAGG
rnacentral:rRNA from 1 species